AGUUAUGACUCGGGGUGCCGUUCCUCAUAGAGGGCUGGCUGAGAAAUACCCGUAAAACCUGAUCUGGAUAAUGCCAGCGUAGGGAAGUCGUGGUAUCUCAAC
rnacentral:ncRNA from 2 species